rnacentral:misc_RNA from 1 species
GAAAUGCGAUAAGUAGUGUGAAUUGCAGAAUUCAGUGAAUCAUCGAAUCUUUGAACGCACAUUGCGCCCUUUGGCAUUCCGAAGGGCAUACCUGUUCGAGCGUCAGUUGCACAACUCAAGCACAGCUUGGUGAUGGGCGCCUGUCUCCCCGCGCUUUGCGGCGGGACUCGCCUGAAAAGCAUCGGCGUCCGGCGGCUGGUCUUGCGCGUAGCAGAUUGUUCGCACAAGGGCCGGCCCGCAGGGCUGCCGCAUACGUCAAUUGCAUCUCGUAGUUUGACCUCGGAUCAGGUAGGAAUACCCGCUGAACUUAAGCAG